UCGCUUACAGAGGUUCAAGUUGCACGAGCCUAUUGUCUGCGUUGAUGGUUUUUUGCUAAUUGAGUUGUUAGGUCGGGGUUCAAGUAAAAGCAGCAGAUGGAAAAUAUAAUAUAUGGUCUCUGCAAGAUUGUUAUGCCUUUGAGUGCUUUUGUAGGCGCAAGCAUGGUAUUAAUGAAAGAAAAAGUCGGUUUUAGAUUUACAACAAGAGUGCAGUGAUGCCUACGUGUUGUGUGAUGCGCCUUUCUUGAUUUGGGCUAUUCAAGAUAAUGUCGAACCUAUUAAGAUCAUAUAAGGGUGUUUAUGGGUUUACAAUGUCGAGUUGUCUACUACCGAGUAAGUAUCAUUUAAGUACUAUUUAAGACAUACAUGUGUUUAACACUUUU
rnacentral:lncRNA from 1 species